rnacentral:rRNA from 1 species
AGAGUUUGAUCCUGGCUCAGAUUGAACGCUGGCGGCAUGCCUUACACAUGCAAGUCGAACGGUAACAGGUUUAAGCUGACGAGUGGCGAACGGGUGAGUAAUAUAUCGGAACGUGCCCAGUAGUGGGGGAUAGCCCGGCGAAAGCCGGAUUAAUACCGCAUACGACCUACGGGUGAAAGCGGGGGAUCGCAAGACCUCGCGCUAUUGGAGCGGCCGAUAUCAGAUUAGCUAGUUGGUGGGGUAAAAGCCCACCAAGGCGACGAUCUGUAGCUGGUCUGAGAGGAUGACCAGCCACACUGGGACUGAGACACGGCCCAGACUCCUACGGGAGGCAGCAGUGGGGAAUUUUGGACAAUGGACGCAAGUCUGAUCCAGCCAUGCCGCGUGCGGGAAGAAGGCCUUCGGGUUGUAAACCGCUUUUGUCAGGGAAGAAAAGUCUUGGGUUAAUACCUCGGGACGAUGACGGUACCUGAAGAAUAAGCACCGGCUAACUACGUGCCAGCAGCCGCGGUAAU